rnacentral:rRNA from 1 species
UACGUAGGGCGCAAGCGUUGUCCGGAAUUAUUGGGCGUAAAGAGCUCGUAGGCGGUUUGUCGCGUCUGCUGUGAAAACUCGAGGCUCAACCUCGGGCUUGCAGUGGGUACGGGCAGACUAGAGUGCGGUAGGGGAGACUGGAAUUCCUGGUGUAGCGGUGGAAUGCGCAGAUAUCAGGAGGAACACCGAUGGCGAAGGCAGGUCUCUGGGCCGCAACUGACGCU